rnacentral:misc_RNA from 1 species
GUUGAUUCAUCCAGCUAUGACUAGUUAUGACACAAUUCUGUAAAUUGUGUGCUAAAUCAAACAUCAAGGUCGUUUCUAUUCUGCUAAUGAACCAGUUCUUUCGGUUGCAGUUAACCCAAUUUAAAAUACAGGAAGCAAUUAAAAAGAAAUGAAUAAUUUUCAUGAAAUUGAUCCAUUACUUUGAGGUUACAGGAGAAUGAAUCAUAUACAACUUUUUUUUGUUAAACAAGAAGAUUAUACCAACCCUCUACAAUCUCGCAUCUGAGCGCGUCAACUGCAAAGCUGAGAGCACAACUGCUGAACUUGGGAAGACGAAUCAUCUGAUAGUAGAUAGACGUGGCUUUUCCCAUUGUUCAAGCAUGUCAAGUUGAAAUAAUUUCCAAGUUGGCUUGACUCACAAGAAAAAUUCUGCCACUUGCAGCUCCAUAAUGAGGUAGGGACACAGCUCAAAUAAUGACACCAAGAACAGUAAUUAUUCAAAUCCACCCCUCGAAGGAGUGCAAGCAACCCAGCAGUAAAUCCAACAAUCAAUAGUAUCAGAGAGACAACCCACAGUACAUACUGAUAUGUCUUGUGUCUAGAUUUAGAUGGAGGUGCAAUGUAUCCUGGAGGACAAGCCUUUUGGUUAACCCAUCCAAACUGGGGCCGAAUUAACAACACAAAUCCGAGAAGAAAACCAGAAAGAAAUCCUCCAAUAUGGGCAAAGUUAUCCACAUGUGGAAGGAUUCCAACUGCUAAAUUUAUUAUGAUGAUCAAAACAAGAGUCAAUAAUGCUGCCAACUUAUUUGCAUAUAUGGUCCAGUUUGUAAUCAGCUCUGAAAGCAUGCCUCCAAGUAGGCCAAAAAGUGCACCAGAGGCACCAACGGAGAUACCCAUCUGAAUAAAAAGAGCUGACAACAAACUCCCACCAAAACCAGAAAUAACAUAGACCAACCCAAUUCGGACUGUAAAAAUGUAAAUCAAAGAAAUUAUAAUUUGUACUUGAUAAGUGUUAACUAAUCUUCAACCAAAAAUAACAAAAAGAUCCAAUGCUGCACACAAGUUCAGAGACUUCCUCUCCUACCCACCUCCUCUUCAAAUUAUCAUCCAUAAACACAUUCAUGAAGCUGCUGAUCUACUCUGGAUAUUUCUUAUAUAUAAGCGCAGUCUGAAACAGCCCAGCCAUUGAAUGUGUUACUUUUCUAGUGCUUUUGAGUAAGUUUUUUAUGUUUUUAAAUUUGUGCACUGUGAUUGAGUCAAGUAUUUUAUCAAUGAAAGCAACUUCAUAAUUACCAUCACAGGGUCAGAUUAACAGAUGUUCACAUGACUGCAAAUAUCAUACAAUUUCUUCAAAAACUUCCGACUCAAAGUAGACAACAAAUAACAGACAGCACUCAGAUAUAUUUUCAGUAUUUAAAUUCAGUAGAGUACACAAUUAUUUUUCAUUUAUCCAUCUAUAAACCCAAUGCACCUGGUAACUUCUCUGUUAUUAAUUUGAUACCUAAACUUAAAAUGACUGAAUGAUUUAUAAUUAAUUCUUGCAUCCACCAGAAAGAACUGCUACUAAGGAUUAUUUACUUGUAUUGUCAUAUACGUAGAUAAACCCAAUGCACCUAGUAACUUCUCUGUUAUUAAUUUGAUACCUAAACUUAAAAUGACUGAAUGAUUUAUAAUUAAUUCUUGCAUCCACCAGAAAGAACUGCUACUAAGGAUUAUUUACUUGUAUUGUCAUAUACGUAGAUAAACCCAAUGCACCUA